GCCGUCCUAGUAUAACAGGUAUUACUAAAGGCGUAAAUGCCUGAAGAUGCAGGUUCGAAUCCUGCGGUCGGUAA
rnacentral:tRNA from 1 species